rnacentral:rRNA from 1 species
AUUGAACGCUGGCGGCAGGCCUAACACAUGCAAGUCGAACGAGUGGCGGACGUGUGCGUAAUGUCUGGGAAACUGCCCGAUGGAGGGGGAUAACUACUGGAAACGGUAGCUAAUACCGCAUACCAUCGGAUGUCCCCAGAUGGGAUUAGCUAGUAGGUGGGGUAACGGCUCACCUAGGCGACGAUCCCUACCUGGUCUGAGAGGAUGACCAGCCACACUGGAACUGAGACACGGCCCAGACUCCUACGGGGGGCAGCAUGGGGGAAUAUUGCACAAUGGGCGCAAGCCUGAUGCAGCCAUGCCGCGUGUGUAAAGAAGGCCUUCGGGUUGUAAAGCACUUUCAGCGAGGAGGCGUUACUCGCAGAAGAAGCACCGGCUAACUCCGUGCCAGCAGCCGCGGUAAUUC